rnacentral:snRNA from 1 species
UGCUUUCUGUGGCAGCACAUAUAUUAAAUUGGAAAGAUAUAGAGAAGAUUAGCAUGGUCCCUGUACCAGGAUAACACACAAAUUUGUGAAGCAUUCCAUAUUAAA